rnacentral:rRNA from 1 species
UACGGAGGAUCCAAGCGUUAUCCGGAUUUAUUGGGUUUAAAGGGUGCGCAGGCGGGAGAUUAAGUCGGUGGUGAAAUUUUGCAGCUCAACUGUAAAAGUGCCAUUGAUACUGGUUUUCUUGAGUGUAGAUGAAGUAGGCGGAAUUUGUGGUGUAGCGGUGAAAUGCAUAGAUAUCACGAGGAACUCCGAUUGCGCAGGCAGCUUACUAAACUAUAACUGACGCUCAGGCACGAAGGCGUGGGGAUCAAACAGGAUUAGAUA